ACCUAUUUUCAUGCAGUCUAUGGAAAUAACUUGUUCGCUAAACACUAACGUUAAUAAUAUUAUUCAAAAAUAAGUUGUUUGGUUUCUUUAGUUUGCAAUAUAAUAUAGAUAUACGUGGGUUUUUUUCCAGAAAGCCGCUAAAAAGAACAACCAGCGGAGUGAGACUCAGCCAAGGGAAGAUCUACUUCAGAAUGAAAGUACUGCAGUAGCUGAGCAGCAUGCUAUUUCAGCUCUGAUGAGGCGGAACGCAACACAGGGCAGAGGACACAUGGCGGGAGGUCGGCCAACUCAUGCGGCACGGUGCGGUGGUGCAGUCAAUUGUGCUGUUGCCUCACAGCAAGAAGUGAAUGUGACUUCAGGAAUUUCCUCAUCUCCCAGAACCCCUCAUGGCUACUGUAUUCAUGGAGCUACACAGCUCUAUGAAUGGUGAAGUAACUUUACUGAAGGAUUACGCUAGGUACUUGUGAAGAUGGCGGCUCCCUUUUUGGCAAUACUUGCGCAUGAAUCCUGACUAAAGUCUUGCCAGAGGAUCUAAAAAGACCUGAUUAUUUAAGACAGCAAGGUUUUGUAAACGUUCUUGGUGAAAGACCAAGAACGCUUUAGUACUUCUUUGUACUUUGGAAACCGCAAAAUUGAGCUUGAUGUAUUUAUAACCCGAAUAAACUGCUGUUAUUUUUGCCUGGGAACCUGGGAAGGCUCUGUAACGGGCUGCUGGGGGCUCAGAUUGCUUCUGACAGCACAGUUCAGUUCUGCAGAGGCCACUUUCAUGGAGUAACCACUCCUUCAGGGCUUCCUGCCUCAGGCAGUAGUGAAUCAGUGUUGCGUGGGAAUACGGCACAAACCCUCCAGAGGUUAGCGCUUAAUACAGCACAGGUGUAUUGCUUGUGGGUAUCGGGCACACAGCUGCCCCCCCCCCCCCA